AAACACAUCGAAUAUAGAAGAAGAAGUAGAAGAACCCACUGCUGAGUUUUUUUAUAAAGUGAUGAUAACGUAAACAUUAGACAAAAGAGUGACAACGUAUCUUCUUCACUGUUUUUGUUUUUGUUUUUUUUUUAAUAUUCGGAUAACUAAGAAUAAUUAAAUAAACGUUUAUCACCAGUUUUGUCUUUAUAUAAGUGAUGAUGUUACAACGAAAGAAACGAACGAACGGGAAUAGAGAGAGCGAAGAAAACAAAAGUGGC
rnacentral:lncRNA from 1 species